ensembl:lncRNA
AGGCCUCUGCUGAGUCUCAUGCGGUGAGCAGCCCGAAGCCUGCGGCAGAAAACGAGGCCAGUGGCCGCCUGCGUUGUCAGCUUCACCUGCAUGGGGACAUCCUGGUCAGCUCUCCCUGUGGUCUGCAGGAUCCAGGCAGCUAUGAAAGGGCCGGAAGCAGUGUGAGCCCAGCCGUGCCCAGGGCCCCUCUGCUGGCUUCAAACUCUGCCCCUCCCUGGCUGGGCCGGCUGUGAGCCAGAAUGGAGCUCCUGGUUCCCCAGCUCACCCCCCUCCUCCAGGACAGGACAGGCCCAGGAGACAGGAGGGAAACCGAGGCAUGGGAGCGCAUCCUGUCGUGUCUGCAGUGCUGGAGAGGACGUCACUGUGAGCAGCUCCAAGCGCCAGAGCCUCCGAGGCUCCGGCAGAGCCAGGCUGGUGGUGAGGGCUACAGACCGCCGGCCCAGACUUCAGGAACACACCAUCCCUCUGGGCUGAGACUGCAGGUCUGUGAUCCGGGCAUUCGCAGAGACUGAGAGCAGCGUCCCCACUCUGUCCUGGCCAUCAGCAGCAUCUCAGCCUUCAUGUGUACGGUGUCCCCAGAGUCUGCAGAGACGUCCCUGUGUAUCCGGACACUGGGCAUCAGUCCACAUAACCCAGGCCAGCCUCGAUCUCCCCGGGAUCUUCCUGCCUCAGCCUCCCGAGUGCUACAAUCACAGGCACCACUACGCUGGGCUCCUUUUUCACUGGCUUAUUUUAUAUUAAGAAGGACUGUGAGAAUCUCUCUAGGCGGAUAGUUUCAGUUCUUCUACAGGAGAUGCAGGUGACCCCUGACCUGCAGAGCACCCCCGGGGCCAGGCCAUCAGGGGGACUCCAGAGGGGCCCAAGGCCGCCGCUGACCAGGGCAGACCCAAGUGGGCGUGGUGAAGUCAGCAGUGUGGAUGCUGCCUGGGCUCUGUGUCCCCAGAGGCGCUGAGGGAGCCCUGCAGCCCAGCUCCAUGCCAGCUGGACCCUGGGGCUCCACUGGGCCGGAUGCCACCUGGGCUGGUGGCCCACUGGCCACCUUCCUGAGCCGGGUGCCUCCCCAGCAGCAGAGCUGCCAGCUGGCUCUCUCCGUUCCUCCCCAGGUGAGCUGCUGGAGCAGCCUGUGAGGCCCCCGCUGAGGCUGUGCACACUGAGACCAGGUCAGCCUGAAGGUUUUACUGAUUUUAUUUUUUAUUCUGAUAUUUUUGCAGUGCUGGGGAUUGAACCCAGGCCCUCUGGCCUGCCCUGCAUCCCCAGCCCUUUCUUUUAAAACAGGGUGCUGCUCAGGCUGGCCUCGAACUUUCAGUCCUCCUGCCUCAGCCUCCCAAGUAGCUGGGAUCACAGGUGUGGCCCCCCCGCCCCAUCUCCCCCCCGGACAUUUUCGGGGGUCACUGGGCUGCUGUGGGAGGCAAGGCUGACUGAGGGCUGAGGGGACCCACCCGGGAUCCCCCAGGGAAGCAGCCUGCGGUGCUGGGUGCCACUCGUGGUGGUGCAGCCCCAGGCGUCUGGGGCAGGACUCAACUCCACACCCAGGGGUCUCUGCUCUGGCUCUCACCGAGGUGCCUGCCCCAGGGCAUCGUGGGAGGGACGGGGUUAAGCAGGGCACACGCCGUGGCCACAGCUGAGCUGGGGAGGGCAGAGGGGUGGGGGCAGGGCUCGCACAGCUGGGCGCCCGCCUGUGGGGGACCCCAAAGCCCAGGCAGCUGGCCAGGGGGAUCCCAGAUUCCCAGGAGAUGAGGUCACCCGGCCUCCACCAAUCAGGCCUCCCAGCACCAAGAAAGGGUUUUUCCCGGCCAGGAAUGCAGAGGUUUCCAUGGCCAAGGAGGGAGGAGCCCUGGGCCCCGCCAGAGACCGGCAGCCCAGCCUGGCUGGAGAGACGGGAUGCUGGGCAGCCAGGGAGGGGGAGGCGGGGUGGGGACAGACACGUCCGCAUUGUCUGGUGGCCAGGACACCGGACCGGGGAGGCCAGCGGCUCUGCCACCCCAGGCCUGGCCACGUGGGCUUUUCUUUUCUUAGGAAAGGUAAAAAGCAGGCUCUGCUUAAAUUCUUUCAACCCCAGAUGGACGAUUUUCCCAAUAAACUAGGACGUGGCAGCCAAUAAUCGCUGCACUUGGGAGGCUGAGGCGGGAGGAUCGCUGUGAGUUUGUGAAUAUCCUGGGCUACAUAGCAAGAUUUUGUCUCAAAAAAAUAAAAUAAAAU